AAUUCAACCUUUGCCUGGCUUUUCAAAAUUAUUUUACAGACCUGCAUUUACUUUCCUAAUGGAAUGAUUUGCUGCUACAGAAUGGCUACAAUGGAUAGUCUGGGAAGACGUUGUAAUGCUUCUUUGGCUCUUCACCUUUGAAGGAACUGCUAAUUUAGUCUGGUCUUCUUGUGAUAUUGUGGAAGCCUCAGGGUUUGAAUCUCAUCUCCCCACAUCCUGACACCACCCAGGUCCAGAGAUGAGGGAAGAGCAUCUGGAGAAGCUUUAUGGUGCAGAAUGGUGUCUAGUGGUGAUUUCUAGGAAGUGGGAGUUUGGGACUUCAGUGCCUUCCCAUCCUGUGUAUUCUGAGAUUUUCUUCAGAAGUGCAACCUGGGUCACUAUCAGGAUUUCUUCUCUUCUGGCCAUCCUAUCAGCUCUGCCCAUACCCAGGCCUUCGAAAGGAGAUCAGUUGCAGGUGGAAGGACAAAAUCUGUUGAAGCAAGAGUCCAUCUUCCACAUCUGGUGUACAGAUUUAGCCACGUUUGUGCGAUUUAAAAAAAAAACAAAAAAACAAAUGUACAGUUUACAUCCCAAGACUUAUUAUGGAAUCCUUAAUUUAUCAACUUAGCUUUUGAUGGAUUUUUUUCUCCUCCUGAAAUGUAUAAUGUCCUCUCAUAGUUAAGCUGCAGAAUCUUUUCCACUCAACUUCCUCCCUCUGGGAUGUAAUAAAGAGACAACUUAUAGCCCAACAGCACAUUAGAGACAAAUUUUCUGCGAUAGAAAAAUGUUUUUUACUACAUGUAAUGUUUCUCAAAGGAGGUCAAAACAUAGAUAUCAAUCCUCUGUCAUCAUUUACUGAAUACCAUAUUUGGCUAGAGAAUAUUAAAAUGUAGUGUGUUACUUUUAAAAGGUUGAGUAUUUUGUCAUGGCUGUUUUAAUUUUCAUAACAGCUAUGUGAAGUCAGAAUAAAGAAGAAGUUAUAAUUAUUUCCCAUCUCUGUGUGUUCAGUUUUCCCCCAAAAGGGUUAAAAGGGUGAGUGGAGAGAAGCAGCAAUGUAGUAUACAUCAAACCCUGUCUCAUCAGUGGGGCAAUUGGAAAACUAGGGCUUUUUGUCUAAAUCUGUCACUUCCUUGUUGGACCCUAUGGUCAGCCUGGCUUUCCUAAGAUGUAAAAUGGGGACAAUAACAUUCUCAAGGAUGGUUGUAGGAAAUAAAUGACAUAAUGUGUAUAAAAUUCUUGGUCCUAGAAGGAAUUCAACACCUGAUUAUUGAUGGUAUUCUUCAACACAAGAUUAUCAAAGGCUUACUGUCUUUCAUAGUGUUUGAUUGUACAGCUAAAGGAACUGAUACUUUUGUAAGUCUACAUUCAUGUUUGUAAAAAUCAAAUAAAGAGAAAGGUUUUAAUUUCAUCAGUGAAUAUCAUUAAAGAAGGCAAUGAUGAUUCAAGAUAACUCAGAUACUAAGUGAAGGUUUAUAUGACUCAGAAUAUUAACUAAAAAUAUUCUGUGUCAAAACUGGUCUUCAUAUGAUAUUUCUUUGGGGCCAAAAAGUACUUUUGUUUGGCUAAUAUUACUCAUAUAGUAAAUAAAUAGGCAGAUAAUGC
ensembl:lincRNA